GCCCCCCUUGGUCGGCAGAUUUGUGCCCUUUGCAGCAGUGGCAGCUGCCAACUGCAUCAACAUCCCCCUGAUGAGGCAGAGAGAGCUGCAGGUGGGCAUCCCGGUGGCUGACGAGGCAGGUCAGAGGCUUGGCUACUCGGUGACUGCAGCCAAGCAGGGAAUCUUCCAGGUGGUGAUUUCAAGAAUCUGCAUGGCGAUUCCUGCCAUGGCCAUCCCCCCACUGAUCAUGGACACUCUGGAGAAGAAAGACUUCCUGAAGGUAGGCGACUGUACCUCUCUUGUCCUGGAAUGGGCGAUGGCUGGGAGAAGAAGUGACCAGGCCCAACUCUCUCUCCAGCCUCGCCUGAUUCUCUAAGACUUGCCAGCCCUUCUCCUGACCCCUGCACCGCCUCCUCCACCUUCGUUCAUUCAGCAAGAAUGAACUGGGCUGGGGUGAAAGAACCCUGCAGGGGCAGGAGGAGAGGACAAGGGAAGGAAACCAACUUCAUCAGUGUUACUCCAGUGGCUUCUGACACACACAGAAGGGGACUGUCAUAGUCAUGCUUGAUCUCAUGCUCAUUCUUUUACCCCCUAGUGCCUCCAUACUGAGAGGUACACACGGGUGAACACGCACACACAGACAUGAACAGGACACGAAAGCAAAGCACAGGAACAAGCUCUGGCUCAUUCACAGAAUCAUUUAUUCACAAAUGUAUUGAGUGCCAUGCACCAGGCAUGUUUUAGGGCUGAGGAGAUGGCACUGAACACGAUGGUUAUGGCCCCUGUCCUCAUGAAGUUUAUAGUCUGAUGCAGAAACCAAUAAACAAGGAGGCACCCAAUAAAUACAUUCUUAGAAAGUGUA
rnacentral:sRNA from 1 species